GUCGAGCGGAGUCCGCCCGGAACGCGACUCCCAGGGCGGCCCAACCAGGAAGGGGAGGCGGCCUCUCAGGAGCUGGCUUGCCGGGACCCCCGUCUGCUGUGCUGGGGGACAGCUUCUGAGGGUCCCUUUCUACCUGUCUCACAUACCCGGAGCCUGAAAGAAUGGAAGAGAGCACCACUGUUCUGAGGCAGGGACACUCAUGGGGUCCACAGAGCCACACUUUAGGGGUCCUCCAGUUCAGCAAAUCAGCUGCGGGAGCCUCCUCCUUCCACCAGAAGCGAGACCUGGACCUUCUGCACUUUAUGUCUUGGUGCCACACCCUAGCCCCAUCAGGGAGCACAUCUCCCUGAGUUUACUUCGGAACUGUGUCCACCACACCCCAGCAGACGCCAGAAGACUUGACCGGACAACACAGGCUGCCUGAGUGGCCUGCUUCUCCACUCUUGGAUGGCUGGCGUGGGAAGGGAUUGAGGCAGAGGGCCGGCGCUUGGGAGAGUGCCUGGCUCCCAGGUCUGGCGGCAGUUCCCGGCCUCAGUUCCUGCCAAGCCAGAGAACGAACACAAACAUGUGGUAGUGGGCGGACUACACGUUGACUUCUGACUCCAGGCAUCUCUCCCGGAAGGGCCAGGCUUCCAUGCUGUGAGUGAUCUGGUGGCAGAGGAAACAAAUGUCUUUGCAGCUUGCCUCUCUUCUCCCACGGAGGCGGGGGCCUGCGUCCUCUGUGUCACAGAAAGUCUGGCCUUCCUGAGUCUGGGCUGAGCUGUAGGUCCUGUGCCUCCAUGCCUUCCCCACCUGCCCCCCCCCAAGGCAGGCCCAACUUCCAUAGCUUAAUAGUGAGGAUCUGAGGGCCAAGAUUCUGUCCCGCCCUCCACUGCUGAGUGGAAGGGUUGGUUUUGCAGAGAGAUAACAUGCUGGGGAAAAGAGUUCUCAACAUCAGCUCACUUGGAUCUGUUGUUCUUUGCCUUCUGGGGACAUGGAACACCAGGGUGGAACUCAGAGACAUCCUAAGUGGACGAUGUCCCAUUUGUUUUUUGCUAAUUCUCUUUCCUUGGCAGUCUUGUGCUGGACAAGCCGAAGAGCACUGUGACUCUGACAUUACAUAGGAGAAGGGUUAAAAAAGAGAGAGAGAAAUCUAUAGCCCUUGAAUGGAAAGCACUGCUUGUUCCGGCAGGCCGAGGCCUGUGCGACGGGAGAACAGGGCAAUGCGGAUAGAAGCAGCAUUUCCAUUAGAGGCCAGAAUCCCAGAGGUCAUUUCAGCUAGAUGAGCAUCCUCUGAUCACUCUCUCUCAGCAAAUGCUCUUUUCUCUAUUUUGCUCUGCAGAGAGGGCUGACGUCCUGCACACACUGAUACGUUAUGCACCAGAACAACAAGCUCAUGAGCCAAACAAGUCUCUGCAAUGUCUUCUUGGACACCAUCUUGCUGUCAUGACCACUAAUGCAACUCCUUAGGAUGAGUCAAGCCAUUUUUUCCAGAAUCUGGAGGACGACGCAAACUCACAGGCCUCUUGGCCAGGCCUGGCUUGGCUUUCUUCUGCCUGCCCUCCUUGAGUGGGGCCAUCUGACUUCCCACUUCGUGAGGUGCACACAAAUCCCAGUUGGGGUCAAAGAACACCUCGGGGUGUGGCGCCCACAGCAGACGGCUGGAGAGGCAGCUCCCAAGUGCCUGGCAGCUACGGAGUAGGCAGGCACAAGGUUGGAGGGGGGAGAUUUGUAGGUCCAAAUGUGCAGGCCCUGUCCCCCUCCAGUUCACAGUCUGGUCACAGGGACAGACAGGCAGGGAAGGAACCGGGGUGCUGGAUGGCCAACAGCAGGGAGGGAGUAACUGUCCCUGGGGCGGUACCCACUUAGUUCCCCUCUGCUGACUUGGGUGGUCUCUCUGCCAAAGACUGACUGGGAUGCAGCAGAGAAAGCUCUGGACAUCUCUCCUAGGUGCACAGAGCUUUACGGGCUAGGCUGUCACCUCCUCUGUCCCUCCAACAGCACCGUGCGGCAGGCGGGCAGGCUGAGCAGGGGACUGUGCCCAGUUGACAGAUGAGGGAAGCGAGGCUGAGGGGAGAGACUUACCGACAGC